CUAGUUCGUUGGGGCAAUGACUGCAAUCAUCAUCAUCAUUACAUGAUUGAUAAAUAUGAACGUAGUAUUAUGGAAAAUUUCUAUUUUUAUUUCAUCAUCACAAACGAUUUUAGUGUCAGCAUAAGAUUAUUCAUAGCUUAAUAAAUUAAUUCAUGUGGUAAGCUAUAAAUCAAUUGCUUAUUAUGGGAAGGCUGUUAUUAAAGUAAUAUCAAACUAGGGGCAUUUAUUUGAAUAUCUAAAAAGUCAUACAUUGAAAAUAGUUCCAGUUCCUGUUGGUCGAAAGAAAAGUGGAAAAGUUUGAAAUUGAAUGUUAUCAGCUCAUGUUGUUUCUGACAUUGUGCACGGACAACAACAACCCGAAUAUAAAGCGUGAGAAAGUGAAUAGAUUUUAGAUCAGAUCUUUUUUAGUCGCGGAGCACUAUUUGCGUUGGAAAUUAAACGCGGAGAACUUUGAAGCGCAUAGGCCAUUUUUCGUAGUUACAUGUAGCAAAUUAAAUAUCUUUUUUUUUAAUUUCGUUUAUUUUCUUGAAUUCAGGAAACAAUUCUUACGACGAAAAACACAAGAACAUUGUUAACUUAACUUUAUAAGGAAUUACAUAAUUAUAUUAUAUGCAUUAUAAUUAUAUGGAGUUUCUUUUUAGUGGGAAUAAUGAGGCUGCUUAUUUUUGCAUAAAGCUGGAAUAUCUGGUUG